rnacentral:rRNA from 1 species
AACGAACGCUGGCGGCACGCCUAACACAUGCAAGUCGAGCGCUUCCCUUCGGGGAGGAGCGGCGGACGGGUUAGUAACGCGUGGGAACAUACCCUUUACUAAGGAAUAGCCUCUGGAAACGGAGAGUAAUACCUUAUACGCCCUUCGGGGGAAAGAUUUAUCGGUUAAGGAUUGGCCCGCGUUAGAUUAGAUAGUUGGUGGGGUAAUGGCCUACCAAGUCUACGAUCUAUAGCUGGUUUGAGAGGAUGAUCAGCAACACUGGGACUGAGACACGGCCCAGACUCCUACGGGAGGCAGCAGUGGGGAAUCUUAGACAAUGGGCGCAAGCCUGAUCUAGCGAUGCCGCGUGAGUGACGAAGGCCUUAGGGUCGUAAAGCUCUUUCACCAGGGAUGAUAAUGACAGUACCUGGAAAAGAAACCCCGGCUAACUCCGUGCCAGCAGCCGCGGUAAUACGGAGGGGGUUAGCGUUGUUCGGAAUUACUGGGCGUAAAGCGCACGUAGGCGGAUUAGUAAGUUAGAGGUGAAAUCCCAGGGCUCAACCCUGGAACUGCCUUUAAUACUGCUAGUCUUGAGUUCGAGAGAGGUAAGUGGAAUUCCGAGUGUAGAGGUGAAAUUCGUAGAUAUUCGGAGGAACACCAGUGGCGAAGGCGACUUACUGGCUCGAUACUGACGCUGAGGUGCGAAAGCGUGGGGAGCAAACAGG